rnacentral:rRNA from 1 species
CCAAUAGCGUAUAUUAAAGUUGUUGCAGUUAAAAAGCUCGUAGUUGAACUUCGGGGUUCACCCAUUGGUCAGGCUUAAUUGUCUGUACUGGUGAGAUGAGUCUCUACCUUCUGAGGAACUUUCAUGCCAUUUAUUUGGUGUGAUGGGAAAUCAGGACUGUUACUUUGAAAAAAUUAGAGUGUUUAAAGCAGGCUAACGUCUGAAUACAUUAGCAUGGAAU